UGUACAUAACAAUCUAAUGCGCCAUCUUUUGUUUCAAACUCUUGUAAUAUCUUGAAUAUCAAGAAAACGAGAUGUCCCUCUUCGGAAUUUGUUUUAUUUUGUAACAAUCUAAUUAUAAAGCUGUUGCGCAGUUCAAAUUAUCACAUACAGACGUGAUAGUUGGUUGUGAAGUUUACCUUCGUGGAAUGUUUGUCUGAAGUCUAAGAACUGUCAACAACAACAACGAGCAUCUUUCGUGUUCAAGAAGCAUAGCGUGACUAAAAACACGAAAUAUUUAUCGUUGACAAUCGUCUUCAAUAAAAAACGACAUGAAUAUUUCUCUGUUAAAGACAAAAUCGUAUUCAAAUAAGGUUGAAAAACAUCGAUGUUUGUGGUUUUUAUUCACCACGAUGAUGGACUCGCAUAACUGUAAGGAAAGUGAUGCGUAUAAAAUUAAAUACAAAUUUUAAUAGUAGUUUUCUCCCAUCAUUUCAAAAAUAGUCUUCAUGACGAGGUUUUAAAAGUUUUUUUCAGUUUAACUCCAAAAAUCAUUUGUGUUCUGGAGCUCAUUAUUAAAAUCUGUGUCUUAAUUAGUAAA